GCUCGCGUAGCUCAGUGGAUAGAGUGUUUCCCUCCGAAGGAAAAAGUCGCAGGUUCAAAUCCCGCCGCGAGUA
rnacentral:tRNA from 1 species